rnacentral:rRNA from 1 species
UACGGAGGGAGCUAGCGUUGUUCGGAUAUACUGGGCGUAAAGCGCACGUAGGCGGCGCCGUAAGUCAGGGGUGAAAUCCCGGAGCUCAACUCCGGAACUGCCCUUGAAACUGCAGUGCUAGAAUCUUGGAGAGGCGAGUGGAAUUCCGAGUGUAGAGGUGAAAUUCGUAGAUAUUCGGAAGAACACCAGUGGCGAAGGCGGCUCACUGGACCGGCAUUGACGCUGAGGUGCGAAAGCGUGGGGAGCAAACAGG